GCCAGGUGCGGUGGUGCAUGCUUGUAGUCCCAGCUACUCGGGAGGCUGAGGUGGGAGGAUCCGCUUGAGCCCAGGAGUUCUGGGCUGUAGUGUACUAUGCCAAUUGGGUGUCUGCACUAAGUUCGGCAUCAAUAUGGUGACCUCCCAGGAGCAGGAGACCACCAGGUUGCCUAAGGAGGGGGGAACUGGCCCAGGUCAGAAACAGAGCAGGUCAAAACUCCGAUGCCGAUCAGUAGUGGGAUCGCACCUGUGAAUAGCCACUGCACUCCAGCCUGGGCAACAUAGCAGGAUCUCGUCUCU
ensembl:misc_RNA Metazoa_SRP Metazoan signal recognition particle RNA